UCGCGAAAACUUCACAAUGGAGGCAACUCCGAUGAGGGAAUUCCUAGUGCCAAUGCAUUUUGUGUUGGCUUUUCUUCAGCGUAGAUAACUGUUGGAAUAAGGGCUGGGUAAGACGGGUGCCAGCCGCCGCGGUAAUACCCGCAGCCCAAGUGGUGGUCGAUAUUAUUGAGUCUAAAACGUUCGUAGCCGGUUCAAUAAAUCUCUGGGUAAAUCGGAGGGCUUAACCUUCCGAAUUCCGGAGAGACUGUUGAACUUGGGACCGGGAGAGGCAAGAGGUACUUCUGGGGUAGGGGUAAAAUCCUGUAAUCCUAGAAGGACCACCGGUGGCGAAGGCGUCUUGCUAGAACGGAUCCGACGGUGAGGGACGAAGCCCUGGGUCGCAAACGGG
rnacentral:rRNA from 2 species